rnacentral:rRNA from 1 species
UACGUAGGUGGCAAGCGUUGUCCGGAUUUAUUGGGUUUAAAGGGUGCGUAGGCGGUUUUGUAAGUCAGUGGUGAAAUAUGGCAGCUUAACUGUCAAGGUGCCAUUGAUACUGCAGAGCUUGAGUACAGAUGAGGUAGGCGGAAUUGACGGUGUAGCGGUGAAAUGCUUAGAUAUCGUCAAGAACACCUAUAGCGAAGGCAGCUUACUAAGCUGUAACUGACGCUGAGGCACGAAAGUGUGGGGAUCAAACAGG